rnacentral:lncRNA from 1 species
CCGAGGUGUUCUUUCAAAGGCAGGACCAUGGAGCAGUACAGGAAGUAUUCUGCUAUGGAGUCAGAAUUUAGCUUAAGAGUUCACAGGAAAAAUGCACAGUGUACAACUUUAAGUUACUUGCUUGUGGAACAGAAGAACAAAAAAGAAUUGCCACAGAAUUCAGACUUGUGGAGUGUAAUCACCCAGAGUAAGGCCAGCCUGGAAUCCAAAUCAGCUGCCUCCUGUAUGCUGUGUGGAACAUGCCGGCUGAAUCCCAGGCUGUUGCAAGAUCUCCUCUUCCCAUAAUGGGGUACAAAGGUAGCCCCUUUCAGACACAGGCAUGGUCACAUCACCACGAUUCCCGAUGUGCAUCCUAGAAGAAAGCAGCACAGCAGAGCGCAGGAAAGAAACGGGCUACUUCCGGCCAGCCGUCUUCUCCGCACACCCUCCGUUUGCUGAGGUCUGUAGAAAAUCAAAUCGGAAAGCAACGUAAAGCCUCCAUGGGUUGUUUGGGAGUAACUUUCAGAAAGGUGCCUAGAUUUGUUCGAGGCUGCUGAAAUCACAAGUUCAUGAACAUCUUCAACCAGCCAGGUGGAUGCUAAAAGGAACUCUGUGCUGUGUGACAGGGCAUCUUGUGUGUCAGUCUAUUCAGUCACUCUGACUGCUGUUACCCUGCGCGAUCUUCCUGGAUAGCCCUGAAGGUCCCAGGUGGGAUCCUGUGAAGAGGGCUUUAAUAAAGAGCCUCAGUUCUGUGGCUCGAACUCAGUUACGUAUGCCUUGCCUCAGAAAUGCAGGCCCAGUUCUCCUUCCUGUAGGUGGGCAGAGAUGGCAGGCCCGCUGUGGUCCUCGGAGGAAAGACUGUGGUCUGGCAUAGGUUCUUUGGUUUGAAUUCAUUCUGCUUAAAACCAAGUACCGUGUUUACAAAACAGAAGAUUUUCUCCUCCAUUUCCUGUUCCUACAGUUCAUGGCCUCUGAAACUUCAGAGCAGGCUGGCACAGAGCCAGCGCUUAAUAGCAUGUGGAUGUUCUGAUGCCCUGCUGGCUGGAGACCAGGGACACUGCCAGGUGGACAUCCAGGAUGCCAACAACUCCCUGAGCAAGGACCUUACCAGUCCUCCUCUCCCUUCUCCCUACCCCCUUCCUCCUCACUAGCACCCAAGGUCCUAAGGCCUUUCACAACAAGGAGCACCUUGAGGUAGAGCUGUCAGUCAGUUGUGGCCUUUCCUAGGCCUAGGAAUGUCUGUUCUUCCCACCAGGGUGGACUGUAUCCCUUUCAACAGUGAGUCGAAGUAAACUUCAUUCCUUAUCUUGGUAUCUGUAGGUAUUUUUCAUUGCAAAGAGAAAAGUAAUUGUGCUGGACCAGAAAGGACCCUCAAAUUUGAACAUAUAGGUGCUAUGUGUCACUUGUUUUGUUCCAAGAAGUCUGGAGGUGAGAUGAGGGAAAUGAGCCCAACUAAAUAUGGCUUUGUGUUUGCUAUGGGGGCAGGGCAUUUUCAAAGUUAUAUUUCAUACAUGAAAUCAUUUUAAAAAGUGUUAAUUUCUGGUAACAUUUAAACUGACCAUUAGGCAGAUGUGUUGUACCAGCAGCAACCCCCAUGGCACAUGUUUGGAAUGAGACUACUAUCCUACAGUGUCACUUCUUCCAAUUCUCUCCAUACACACGGUUGUUGCCCUGGCUCCCUGUAGACUAGGUGUCGGCUUGUGGCGCAGACCGUUGUGCACGCAGCAGAGCAGGGUGUGGGUCACUGACCACUGGAAAGUGUUGGUGUUCCCAAAUACCAGGGAGAGCAGAAAUUUGCCUUUGUGAUAGCCUGACCCACAGUGCCUUUAUAAUGUAUGUAAUAAAGCCAGUUUUCCCUUCUAAUACGUCUGAAGACGUUUAAAGUAGGGAAGAUCCUAUCUCCAACCCCACCAUCUCCAGAGCCAACACAAUAGUGCUAUUCUCUCCUCCUUGUGGCUCAGAAAUGUGGUUCCUGUAGAAGUUGGCUUGAAAUUCUAGCCCCAGGUGAUAAGAAACUGUCAUUACAACUGCCCUUUGCUGGGGAAGGGGGUGGGAGGUGUUUGCAUAAAACAGUUGAAGAAUUAAAGCCAAGUCCCCCACAUACUCUCUAAUUAGGAGUGACCUGGGAGCCACAGAGGCUUCUUAGCACCAACAGUUUGCAUUGGCAAGGCAGUAAGAAGUCUGUUGUUGAAGAAAAUAGUGCAUGAAGCCUGUGGUAGCUGAUCUGUGAAUGUCUUCCGCCAAAAUUCAGUUUAGAUUACGGUUUUCACAGCCGCGUGCUCAUUGUUUGAUGAACCAGGGGCGGCUGUUGGAAUGCUUUGCCAUGGCCUCCUCCUCUUACUUCUUUAGAGCUUCCUAGUGUUCCAGCCCCGUCUGGAGACUCCACCAUGCUUGCACUCUGGCAGACCCUUCUCACUUCCCCUGGGAAGCUGUCUUUUGUUAGUAAUUGGUAGUGUCAUAAGAAUGCUGCCCCAGAUUGUCCUGCAUGUGCCACAAAGGGCUGUUGCUGUGCAGGGACCGUUCAGGUGAUUUCUGCAUGCCUGCUUUUCAGCAUCCAGGUGGAUUUGGGCCGAUGUGGCUCCUUGUGAACAAAAUAUCUCAAUCAUGUGUUAUUGAAAUAAAUCCAUGUUGUCAUUUUUAAUGAAGCUGAAAAAAACUCUGUUAGGCAGUUUGAAUGCUGUUUCUAAUGAAUGAGUGAGAAAUAAGGUAUAAAGCAGAACCCUAAUUCUUAGAGAGACACUGAAGGCUUCUGAUUUUUUUAAAAUGUAUUUUCAAUACCUGUUUUUGUGAGUUCUAGUUGGGCUUGAAACUUGCUGUAAGUGACCAUGGGCAAGUUUUAAACUCAUGGUUUAUAACUGGUAGGAGGAUACAGAGAGAAAACUCAGGAGAUUCUGAUGUUGGUUCUCCUGGGACUGUUAGGUAAAAAAAAAAAAGAGAAGAAGAAGAAGAAGAAGAAGAAGAAGAAGAAGAAGAAGAAGAAGAAGAAGAAGAAGAAGAAGAAGAAGAAGAAGAAGAGGAAGAAGGAGUUGAAGUUGUUCUAUCUUUCAUGUGGGCUAGGACAUUUAAAAUUGGCUAGACAAAUGCUUAGCGCAUUACUGAGCUUAAAGUGCACGUACUUUAGUGUGAUCAACAGUAACCAGACGUCCAGUUCAACCCAUUUGAGUUUAUGACCUCAGAGUUCUCUAUGUCUUAGAACACAGAAAAUGGCAUUGCAGAACUGUGUUGGAAGCAAAGGGAUAGGUGCUGUGCAGCUCUCAUGGGACUUUAGAAAGGUCAUUCCAGGAAUCCGUUUUCUGCCAUUGGGAUCUACAUUGCUGAACACUUGAGGUGAGUAGAUUCCAAAUCCUCACAGCUAUGGGGAAUAUUGCUAUGAACCCCGUCUGCACUAAAGAAACACACUUUAAAUCUGGUAAGGAAAUGCCCCAGAUUUUAUGGUAUUGAAGUGCAGGUUGUAGUCCCAGAUGUGUAGCCACAGCUGGCCCCUGCUUUUCAGAUCAAAAAGGAUGUUAAUUUGCUCUAGAAUACCCAGAGGUGUGUUUUGCAAAAGUAGGCAAUCUGUUAAAUUGGUCAAAUUGGUAGUCAUAGCCAAUCACGAGAGGCAAACAUUCCGACAGAGAGAUAGCAGCUCCAGCAUUGGCCGCAAAUUCUAACUAGUCUUCCAUAGACAACCCUAUGUUAACUUCCUGCCCUGCUUUCAGGGUUCAGGGGUGAGAGGGCCAUCUUGAAAAGGACAUCUAUGGAUGUCCAGACCUUGAAACCUGAGAGGCAGCUGGAGAGCCUUCUCCUGUGGAUAGAUGACUGUUGUGUACAGAGAGCACUGUGGAGGAUUGUUAUGGAGAGAGCUUUAUGGUUUUUGCAUUUUCUUCACUGACCCUUUCAUUUGGACAGUGGCCACCUGAUAUAGUAUAGUUUUUGGUUAAUGGCUGCAUUUCUGAAAAUGCUAGUUAUGUUUCUUUAAAAAAGAAUUUUGAAGAAGUUAAAAAUUGAAAUUGUUAUUAAAGAGUUAAAGAGCCUAAAUUCAUGAAAAACAGGAACCAUGAUUAAGGCAUGGAGUGGAGAAGUGUAAAGUCCUUGGCAUUUUCAAUUUUCUUUGCUUAGUUUAACAUUAUCACUCACUUCUUAUUUACUCCUAUUUAUCACUAUUUACUCCUGUUUCUCCCAGAGAUCAGGUUAAGUCCUUGACGUGCUUCUGGGUCCGUGUCUACCAAGCACCUUUGUCCUUCUCUGGAGUUUGGGAAGCUCAUUAAUAACAUACCCUUAAUGUAAAUAUUUGGGCUCUUGGACUUUUUGUCGUGUGUGUGUGUGUGUGUGUGUGUGUGUGUGUGUGUGUGUGUGUGUGAAAGAGAGAGAGAGCCUGAGACAGAGACAGAGAGACACACACAGAGAGAUGAAGACAUAGAGAUAGAGAUGCAUACAGUAAAAUAUACAGAAAGAUGGUGAUGAUAGAGAUAGAGACUCGCACAGAGAGAGACAGAGAGGCAGAGACAGCUAUAGAUCUAGAGAGACAGAGAUAUAGAGACAGAUAGAGAGACACACAGAGAGGAGAGACAGAUACACCACACACACACACACACACACACACACACACACACAGAGACAGAGAGACAGAGAGACAGAAACAGACAGACAGGGACACAGACACACUCACACACAAAAUUGUCCCUUCAUAUUGAAAGCGGAAGGGAACAUAACCAAUGUCUGGAUUAUCAUCUGAACAUAGAAUUCCUGAUGAAGUGGUGAUAAGGGCAAGAACUGCUGUCGGCUUACAAAUCAUGGUUCUCUAUGUUUUUCCUGAUAGCUAGUCUGUUUCUGUCCCUACGACAAAUACCUCAGGGGGGAAAAACCGAAAGGAGGACAAUUUUAAGGAUUUCGUUUGGGCCAGUAAAAUGAGUUUCUGUCAACAAGCCCGAUGAUCUGAGGUCAAUGUCUGUGACCAUAUGGUAGAAUGAAGUACCAACUUCCGCAAGUUGUUUUCUGAUCAUCACAUGGGAAGUUUCUCUCUCUCUCUCUCUCUCUCUCUCUCUCUCUCUCUCUCUCUCUCACACACACACACACACACACACACACACCAAGUAGAAAAAGACCAAGAGCCCAAACCUUAAUCUUUCUUUACCUUAAGAGCAUGAUAAUAAAUAAAUAAAUAAAUAAAUAAAUAAAUAAAUAAAUAAAUAAAUAAAUAAGCAAACAAACUUUUAAAAAGAUUUAUUUUGGCUUCUGAAGGCUCCGUCCUUGGCCACCUAGCUUUAUUGCCACAGGCUUGAGGUAAGGGUGGAGAACUGCUUACUUCACGACAGACAGAAAGCAGAAAGAAAAAGCCCGGAAGAGCAGGAGACAAGAUACAUCCUUCAAAGAUGUGCCCCAGUGACCCAGUAACCCACCUCCUCUGCUUAGGUCCUGCCUCCUUUCCAUUGCCUCCCAGUACUGCCAUUGGUUGGAUUAUGAACCUAUUAGGAAGAGCUUUCCUAACUCAAUUCCCAUCUCUGACCAGUGGUGUUUUGGGAACCAAACUUUACACAUGAAACUUUUAAGAGGCAUGUUACAUGAAAGCCAUAAUAAGAAUUGUCUCCUUAAGUAGUCAAAACAAUACAUAUACUGUAUGUUCGUAGGAGCCAACCAUUUAUCUUCUCUUUACCAAGUUCAGACUGAGUCAAGUUCAGACUGAUGCCACAGCUAGGUACAUGGGACCCCCAGAAACGAUGCCUCGGAAGCUGCAGAGCUCCCCUCUGCUGUACAAGCUUUGCGGUGUGCAUAGCAUGUUUUUAAGGGCACCAAGCAAGGAACACCAUCACCACCAGCUAUACAGCAUGUAAGAAAAACAUUAGAGAAUUAAGCAUAUUAAUAUGUGUGCUUGACAUGAUGGUUAAGAAGAUGUGGCUGAAGCUUAGGACCAGGACUCCAGCCUCAAGUGAGCAGCUUGACCCUGCCAUUCUUUCAACUCCUCCCUUGGAAUUUGGUGUGAGCCUGGACACAGUUCUCCAACAGACAAGAUUGCCCCACAGGUUACAGAUGAUGCCUUCACCAUGAUGCAGAAACAUGAGCUUGGAGGCCAGUGAGAACCCAGAUAAGCACAACCACCAUAAAAUUCAUCAAAACAGUGAAGAAGCUAUGUGGGAGCUUCUGAGACAUGCAAGCUCCUGACUUACAUGACAGUGUUUAAGGUAGAGGGAAGUGUUUAAGCGUCUCCGUGAGGGAAGGUAGCAACAGAAUGAGGUCCUGCUUCACCUUCAGUAAAGAGAAGAGUUUUUUCUCUUCUCUUAGGAAGGUGAUGGUAAUAUAUGUAAGAAGUAGCAAGAAAAAUACCCGUGAAGGUUGAAGAGGGACUGCUUGCCACCACAGCACAAAGAGAUAAAACAAAAGUGUGUGUGUAUGUGUACAUGUGGUGUGGGUGUGUGUGCGUGCAUUUACUUUUAGUGAGAUAUAGCUAAACCAUGCUUGGAAAUAUUUCAUUUUAAACAUAUUUGUCUGAAAAGAAGAAUGGCAUAAAACAUAAAUUAAGCUCUCAGGUCAAGAACUUAAAAAAAAAAAAUCAAUGGAGCAAAUCCAAGGAACAUGAAGGAAGUUAGACAGAGAGAUACAAGAGAGAUCAAUGAAAGAGAGAACACAGGAGAAAAAAAAAAGCCUACAAAACAAUAGAAACAAUCCACAAUCCACAAAAUCAAGGCGUGCUGUUCUGUAAGGCGUCUGGCGAGACUGACAAGGAACAAGCACUAGUAAACAAUAUAGAGUCUAAACAUAAAAAGGAGAAGGCAGAGUACUUUAGUUACAGUUAUAAUGGUGAUUUAGCUUCAGUUACAAUAGAAAUAAGGAAUUAAUAAAAGAAUAUUAUGAACAACUACACUAAUGAACUUGCAAAUGUAGACAAAAUGGAUGCACUUAAAAAAAACAAAACAAAACAAAAUGAAGAAACCAAGCACAAUACUGAGGCGGACAAAGUACUCAAGAAGUUGUAACGGGAAUUAAACCUUAUUGUUCUCACAAAACCCAGCUCAGACUUAAUUCUAAGUUGUUUUGGAAAAUAGAAAAUGGUAAAAUAGUAUAACAACAACAACCACCACAACAACCAAAAGUCCACCUUAGUUACCAAUGCUGUAAUUUUUGUUCCCAAACCAAUUAAGAUGAAAAUAUGGAAGAAGGAUUGUAGGCUAAUUUCAAUUGCGAAUAUAGAUGCAAAAGUUGCUAAAUAAAGUAUGGUCCUACUGAACCCAGAACCACAUAAUAUGAGGACUUUGCGGGGGGAGGGCAAGCAAGGCUGGUUCAACGUCAGAGAUGCUUUUAAUACAUUGUUAGUGGACUUAGAAAAAAGUCACAAUUCUCCUGGCAGAUGUAAAAGGGCAGUUUAUGAAGACUUAAACUUCUUUACCUUUCCAACCAUUAAUGCCUAACCAUCUGCCAACCAUAGUUCAGAGAAAAACCUCCUAAGAUUGGAAGGGUUAGAUCAUCCUCUAUGGCAGUUUAAAUCAGUGAGUGUAAAAGUGUCAUGCAAUGUAUCAAAAGAUGGCCUAGUCGGCCAUCACUGGAAAGAGAGGCCCAUUGGACACGCAAACUUUGUA